UACGGGGGGGGCAAGCGUUGUUCGGAAUUACUGGGCGUAAAGGGCUCGUAGGCGGCCAACUAAGUUCGGAUGUGAAAUCCCCAGGCUUAACCUGGGAACUGCAUCCGAUACUGGAUGGCUUGAAUCCGGGAGAGGGAUGCAGAAUUCCAGGGUGUAGCGGUGAAAUGCGUAGAUAUCAGGAGGAACACCGAUGGCGAAGGCAGGUCUCUGGGCCGCAACUGACGCUGAGGAGCGAAAAGCAUGGGGAGCGAACAGG
rnacentral:rRNA from 1 species